rnacentral:lncRNA from 1 species
AUGACCAUCUCGGCUCCGAUGGCUGUGAAUGAACCUGAGGAGAUGGCAGGAAGUGGCAAGAAUCCAACCUAUCCACAUUCAAAAGCAUAUCUUCAACAGGCUGUCAGACAGAGAAAAUCCAACUGCUUUCACCUUCACCACAACCUGAAGAGCGAGGUGUGUAAUGACGAGCAGAUGAAAUACUGGAUGGAAAGUAUUCCAAAAGGUCAAGAGUCCUACAGAAUGAAUCACCAAGCUGUGAUACUAAUGCUUCUAUUUUGGGGCGUAGAGUCUACAGACUUCAGUGGUGAGUGGAGUCACCCAUUCAAAAUGGCAAGACGGGACGAUACCUGUAGGUGUCUGUGCCUAAUGACACUCCAUUCCCUCACCCAUGGAGAACUCCUUUAUUCCUUUGCACGGUCACAGAGGUAAAUGGCCAACAGCCAGGUGUGUAUAUGAGGUCCCACCUCCAUGGUCAAAGAUGGUUAGAACCCAAGAGUUCAGUGAUCUCUCACUUGACCAAUCAGCUCCCCUUCUCUGGGAAUUUGGGACAGGAGCAAGAUCUGGAUCCAUCAGUCUCCUUCUUUGAUUGGGCCUAGAAUUGUGGGACAGCUGUUCACCUGCCCUUUGGGAUGUAAAGAAAAAGCUGGUGUUUGGGAAAGUAGAAAUGAAAUAUAUACACAGAGAGAAGUAGAAAUGAGUUUUGGCUUCAUGGAACACCUUGAAAUCUCCUCUCACCUACUCCAUCUGGAUCCAAACUAGCUUGAAGUACUUCGUGGUAUGUGUAACAAAAGAGUCCUAACCGGGCGUAUGAGAACACAUAGUCCCUUUUCAGAGGAGACGGAAGAUCUUGCAGAAUGUCACGGUGCUCUUGAAAAACUUGCCAUUCUCAAUAUUCAAAACUCUGUAUAGAAAACCAGAAACAGUCACACUUAUCAUAAAUUCACCUCAGAUCUUGCUACAAAAGUUGGCUUUGUUAAAUUUAAAUUCUUACCAUCAGUUCGGUUUCUAAUGCUUUAAAUCUCUUCCCUAAGGGGCCAGGGAUUUAGUUCAGUGGUUCCACUGCCUGCCUCAAAAGCGCAAGGUCCCGAGUUCGAUCCCCGGUACAAAAAUAAAUAAAUAAAUAAAUAAAUCUCUUCCCUAAAAGCCAUUCAACAAGACACUUACCAGUACCAAGAACAAAUGACUUUGUAUUAUGUGGGUGGCAUGUGUUGUGUUGUGUCUGGGAGGGGCAGGGAAAGGGAUUAAUAUAUAUUGAGUUCAAACUGUUUGCUUGUCAUUUAUUGUUUAUUUUAAUCCUUAACACACACUGAGUUGUGAUCAUUAUAAAACCAUUUUACCAGUGAGGAAGCUGAGUCUCAGGAAAGCAUAUUGAUUUUUAUUAAGGUCACAUGGCUAGAAAGCUCUUGAGGAAGAUUUUAAACCCAAGUUUGGUUCUACCAGGUCUGAAGAGAACCAAAGUUGAUAUUUUCACUUUUUAUUGUUGGUACAAAGAGGGUAAAGCCUUGGUUGGAUGUUCUACUAGGUAGAUUCUGACAUCCUGGUGAGUAGAUUUGCAUAAUGCAGGAUAUUCUCUUCCUUGGGAGACAAAAAUGGGGACAGAAUGACUUCCUGGCAUCAGAUCUGUUAAGGGUAUUCCUGCAUUUUCUAAAUUAAGCAUUGCUACAUCUGGUAGGAAUCAGGGAUAACAAUCUUUAGCACUCUAUUUAUAAAGGUGGAAAGAAAAAAGAGCCAGAGUGACGUGAGGGCCCCAAGAUCCCACGUUGGACCUAGAAACAGAUUGUGACCAUCUGGCUCUGCCUGCUCAGAAGGGAGCAUUCUGAACCUGCUGAUUUUUCUUGACUAAUUAAAGGUGAUUGGAGUUUUAUAGUUUGUUUUUGUUUUUGUUUUUGUUUUCUCCAUCUUUCACAUACUGUCUGCCGGCUGCCAAUUAACAAGAAGACUGGAGAAGAACUUGUGCUGGCUGGAAUCAGCUGGGAUGUGGACCUGUUACAGUGCGAUGAAGGAGAUUCAAGCAAAGCCAUUUACCUAGAUGUGGUUCAUCACUAGCAAAACAAUCGUGCACAUGGUUAAAUCAAACUUUCCAAGCUCCUCAAAAUUGACCUUUUACAUAAAGAUGCCCAUCUGGAAUAUACAGCAAGUUACAACCAAAAUCUUCACCUUUUUCUUCAGCUGUUAACUCUUCUCUACCUAUUGGAUGCUUUUGUUUCAUUUGAAUUUUUUAAAACUCCUCACAGUUGAAUUACUUUCCUUUAUUGCAAAAAAGUUGCAUACUUAUUUUAAUGCAUUCCAACAUUACAGACGUAAAAUGCAGAAAGGGAGCAUUUGGAUUUGAAUUUUAAAUACUGUCAAUGGCCCUUCCGGUAAAACUUUGCCAAUGUUGAGAAUAUCUUAAGGAAUGUAAACUACAGGAAAACUCCAAUUUGUCAAAAUGUCCAAGGAAUGGGAGAUUCCAGGUUCUCUCACAAUCAGAAAAGGCUUUUUUAUAUCAAACCUUGGUGUUGGAAAUCUUAUUGAAAAGUAGGAGUUCUGUUUCCUGCCUCAAGAAACAAAGUUUACUCAAAACAUAAUUUAAUGUUAGUCUGGUAGUUGAGGGUCAGAGUGGACCUUAGGCUAAAUAUUCUGGAUCCAAUUUCCAUUGUCCAGAAAAAGCCAAACAAAGCCAAACAAAGCCAAACAGGAGACUGGGUAGAAUUUGUACUCGACCCUAGGACAUGUUUUUAAAGUUCCUUUAAUCAGCCUUUUCCUUUUUGUAUUUUGUUCCCUUCUUAUUUAGAGAGAAGGAAAAAAAGUUUGCUAGCCUGGUGUUUUGCCUAUACAAAUCCCAAUUAAAUCAAGAUUUUACCAUAUUUGAAAUUUUUUUCACUCUGUUGUUAUGAAAGAUCUAACUGAGUCCUUGACCAUCACUAGUUGGAAGCCAUACUUCUUCAUCCAGCCUCAGACUUGGAGGAGUCCCUCCCUUAACCACCCACCAGAGAAGAGAUCGGUAGAAUUUGCUCAUUUCUUCCUACAUUGUCACUGUCUAGUCCAGUGUUUCUCACCCUUUGCACUAAUGAUAUUUGUGGUCAGAUAAUUUGUUGUAGGAGGCUGUUCCGUGUGUUGCAGAAUUAGCAACAUUUCUGCCCUCUACCCACUAGAUGCCAGCAGUGCCAAAUGAGUUUCCAUACAUUAUCAAAUGUCCCCUGAGGGGAAAAACUGCCCCUAGUUGAGCAUCACUGAUCUAGACACAGGCACAAUUAUUCCCCCCUCCUUCUUGUCAAGAUUAUGAAUUUUUUUUUUUACUUUGGCAAGUAAUUUCAUAACAUAUUUCCUGUGCCAUUUCACGGGAGAACAAAAAUAAUUCUCUGAUGAAAGUAACAUUUUGGGCUGGGGAUUUAGCUCAGUGGUUUCGCUGCCUACUGCACAAGUGCAAGGACCUGAGUUCGAUCCCCAGUAACAAAAAAAAAAGAAAGUAACAUUUUGACUAAGGCCUUGUUAAAACACAACCGCAGGUUCCACAUUGUUUGGGAAAGGCAAUAGAUUUGUUCUCCGUGCCAAUGCUGAUCUUGAUUUUAAAUACUGAAUUUUCAUACUCUUCCAGAUUUCCCUUGAGGUCAUUGUCAUUAUGAGCAUCAAGUCACUGUCCCAGCCACAGCCUCUUGUGUUGCACUGUAACCCUCAAUUUCAUUUUUGCGUCUGCCUCAGAAAUAUUUUCGCUACUGUUGCUGUUUCCUAAUGCAUAAUAGAUUUUUCACUCACUAUUUUUUAAGCCCAUUAUUCCCUGUCUCCAGUGAGUUAAGUAUAAAUUUUAUAUUCUUGGAGAAUAUUUGGUAUAUUUACAAAAUCUGUAAAAUUGGUUAAAUUGAAGUGGUAAGUUAUAGAUCGCAGAUUUUAAGCCUACAGUAAUUUUCCUGCACAGGAAGAAGUAAUAGUUGAAUUGUUUUAGAUAAGCAGACUUUAUGAUUAGAAGAAUGACCUAUAUAGGGUGAUUAUAAGAUUUUAAAUUAUUUAAUUAUGUUAUAGUUUGGAUUUGGAAUGUUUCCCAAAGGCAGCCUAUGGCACUAUUGGUUGGAGGUGGAGAUUUGGAGAGGUUGGGCCUACUUGGAGGACAUUAGGUCCUACUGGGAGGAAGUGUGCCCUUGAAGAAGGCUGCAAGACUGCAGAUUCCUUCUUUCCCUUUCCCUUCCAGGCUGCAAUGAAAUAGAAUGGAUGUUCUUCUCCACAGACUUCUUGCCGUGAUAUACUGCUUUGUACAAGCCCAAAACAACCAGAUCGACCUACCAUGGACUGAAACCUUAAAAACCGUAAGCCAGAAUACAACCUUUCCCUUUCUAAGCUGAUUCUAUCAAGUAUUUGUUAGUAAAGCUGACUUACAUAAAUUCAUAGUUUAUAUGUUAUUUAUUUUGUAC